GGAGAAGGAGAGUCACCUGUCAAUGUUGCGCAUCGACACUGGAUGUGUAUGGUCGGGGCAAUGGGACAUGUAUGAUGCGGGCGCGGAAGCGGGUGGCGGGCGGUGCCCCAGUGGGCGCGGGCGGCCAGCACGGCGGGAACGCGUCGUUUUGCGGCACAGUGAGAGUGGUGUGCAAGCAGUCCCAUGGUGCGGCGAGGGCGAGUGCGGUCGAUGAGCCCGACGCAGAGGGCAGCACGGAGCCGCCGCGGGGGGCUCCGCCGGCUCCCCCGCGCCCGUUCCAUCACCCCGUCUGCCUGCGCACUCGGCUCGGCCGCGCCGCGCGCUCACUAAUGCGUCAUACCGCCAUCGAGACUGACGCGGCCAUACCGCCGCAACGACGCGACAGUUCGCGCCAUGUGAACUUCAGUGUUGACUUAUAUGUAGAGCCUCGGGAUUCAUCGAGUACUUGAGAUAGGUCGUAUCUUAAACGCUAGCAAUUAUGGACAGUGACUAUGGUGCUUGUGAGCAGAGACAGAGUGGUGCAUCGAACCAACGCACGUGCUCAGGACUCGACGGCAUUUCUGAAACUCGCUACCUAGAUGCCCUAGUCACGCAAUGCGGGUUGAGUAUUCAUCAAGAACCUACUGACUACGGGUAUGGACCUGCUGAUAGCAAAAAUUGAUUAUUGCGUAUUCUUAAACCAAUUCGAGCUCAUCGAAAUAAUUCAUAUAAUCCGCAUGCUGUUGGCGCAAGCCCACGAGGACAGCGACGAGCCGGAGGUCUAGCGCACCACCGACACCAUCUCACCAUCAUGGCCUUGCCACUCGCUCUACAGCAGGCGACACGUCGCGGGCAGCAUGGCGCGGACGAAGCGGCACGACGGCGCGCGGCCGCGCCUCGGCGGCGGCUCGUUCAGGUCGGAGAUGUCUCAGCGAAAUAGCAAACUUACCCUACGGAUAAAAUAACUUAUCGAAUAGUGCAUUUCCAUAAAUGUGAUAUUAUGUACCUAAGUAACCUAAAAAAUUAAAAAUGUCUGAUAAGUAGAUUAAAAUAAAAUUAUGUACGCCGA